rnacentral:rRNA from 1 species
AGAGUUUGAUCAUGGCUCAGGACGAACGCUGGCGGCGUGCUUAACACAUGCAAGUCGAACGAUGAUCUCCAGCUUGCUGGGGGGAUUAGUGGCGAACGGGUGAGUAACACGUGAGUAACCUGCCCUCGACUCUGGGAUAAGCGUUGGAAACGACGUCUAAUACCGGAUAUGACUUCUGACGGCAUCGUCUGGGAGUGGAAAGAUUUUUUGGUCAAGGAUGGACUCGCGGCCUAUCAGGUAGUUGGUGAGGUAAUGGCUCACCAAGCCGACGACGAGUAGCCGGCCUGAGAGGGUGACCGGCCACACUGGGACUGAGACACGGCCCAGACUCCUACGGGAGGCAGCAGUGGGGAAUAUUGCACAAUGGGCGAAAGCCUGAUGCAGCAACGCCGCGUGAGGGACGACGGCCUUCGGGUUGUAAACCUCUUUUAGUUGGGAAGAAGGGAGCUUGCUCUUGACGGUACCAGCAGAAAAAGCACCGGCUAACUACGUGCCAGCAGCCGCGGUAAUACGUAGGGUGCAAGCGUUGUCCGGAAUUAUUGGGCGUAAAGAGCUCGUAGGCGGUUUGUCGCGUCUGCUGUGAAAUCUGGGGGCUCAACCCCCAGCCUGCAGUGGGUACGGGCAGACUAGAGUGCGGUAGGGGAGAUUGGAAUUCCUGGUGUAGCGGUGGAAUGCGCAGAUAUCAGGAGGAACACCGAUGGCGAAGGCAGAUCUCUGGGCCGUUACUGACGCUGAGGAGCGAAAGCAUGGGGAGCGAACAGGAUUAGAUACCCUGGUAGUCCAUGCCGUAAACGUUGGGAACUAGAUGUAGGGGCCAUUCCACGGUUUCUGUGUCGCAGCUAACGCAUUAAGUUCCCCGCCUGGGGAGUACGGCCGCAAGGCUAAAACUCAAAUGAAUUGACGG